GCCGGGGUGGCGGAAUGGUAGACGCUACGGACUUAAAAUCCGUUGGGGGAAACCCCGUGUGGGUUCGAGUCCCAUCCCCGGCACCA
rnacentral:tRNA from 4 species